rnacentral:lncRNA from 1 species
GUAUUGGUCGGGGGAGACUGAACCUACCGUUGAGGUCUCUAAGUUGUGCAUGUCUCUCAGUGACCUACAACUUACAAACGGAUGUAAAAGAGCUCAAAGACAAUGCAGGACUAGAAUCAGAUAGAUUACAUGGAGUUGUAUCCUAUGAACAAGGAAAAGGUUUUCAUUGAAACACACAUUUUUUGCUAGAAUGUUAAAAUCAAGUAGAUAGUUAGCAUUCCCUUAAAAAGAAGUUCCAGUUACUAGGGUGACCAGAUUCCUCUCAUGGGCAUUUCUAGGCUGAGGCCUGAUCACGGCCCAGUGGACACCAAUGACAUCACAAAGUGGAGGUUGUCACUAAGGCAACUGAUGACCAGUGAGGGGCUGGAGCACAGGGGUAUAGUGGGCUGCAGUAAGCACUGGCACCUUGAGAGACUCAGGCCAGCAGAAAAAUCAAGCUGUGACAACCGGGGCAAAACCCAGCAAACAUCAUGGCUGGAAACAAACACAGUCGCAGCUCCUGUAAGCCUAGAAGACAGUGCCCUUCCCGUUCCAGAAGAGCGGAGCUGCAGUUUCCUGUUAGCCACAUGGAACGCUGCCUGCGAGAAGGCAGGCAAGGAGGCCCAGAACAGCCACAGGGUGUGCAUCACCCCAGAACACCUGAAGAGAGCACUGCAAAAGAAUGAGCAGCUAAGAUGGAUCUUGGAGGAGGAAGAUGACAUCCACUCUCAGGAAGAAGAAAUGCCCCAACCUGAGGAGGAGGAGGAGGAGGACGAGAGAAUGGAGGAGGAGGAAGAGGAGAAAAAGGAGGAGGAGGAGGAGGAGGAUGAGAGAAUGGAGGAGGAGGAAGAGGAGAAAAGGAGGAGGAUGAGAGAAUGGAGGAGGAGGAAGAGGAGAAAAGGAGGAGGAGGAGAAGAAGGAGGAGAAGGAGGAGGAGAAGGAGAAGAAGAAGAAGAAGGGAGGAUUCCUGAGUUUCAGAGCUGUGCAGGACUUCAUCAGCAACCUCUUCCAGCUGCUAAAAUUCCCAUAGAUGAAAGACCCCAGGCAACUCAUUGUGAAGAUGCCCACCCCACCAACUGGGUGAUUCCUUAUGGAGAACUAUAGAGCAUUCCCAGCCUUAGCCCAGAUCGUCACUUUCUCUUCUGUGCAUUUGAGAAGCAAGCAGGCGUCUCUCCAGCAUCUGCAGGUAGGGAGUCUCCUUCAGCUGAUCACAUCAUGGUGACAGCAGCACCCCCUCCCCUUGCCAAAGUGAAACAUCUUUGUUUUCAG